UUUUUCAAGUUUUUGAACAUUAGCUUGCGUGAAAUUUUGAGAUCUAAUUUCAAUUUACUAAAUAAGAACAUAAGAAAAAUGUAUUUCAGUUUGGAAAAUUCGUUUAAAAUAAAAGAAAGAUUUAUCUUCCAAUGUAAUCUCCGCACACGAAGCAGCUGGCGUUGUCUCUGAGGUAACUAAUGUUUGAGUUUCCUUAGCUUAGCCAGCUACAUGAGAGGCAAGCUAGUCAACAGAAGAAAGUAAAGAGCCACAGGAUUGGUAGGAGCACAAUUAAUAAAGUAUUGAUUGAGACUUGUACAACAAUCUGCGAUGUUCUACAGAGCACAUAUUUCAAUGCUAUUAAGUGUAAUUGAUGGGAAGCACAUUAAUGUUAAAACCUACAAACAAAUCGGGUUCUACAUAUUAUAAUUACAGGGGAAGCAAACUACGAGCUUACAAAUGUAGAUUUUGGAGACUUUGGCCUGAAUAACAAUGACGGAGUUCUGAGAAGCUCAGAAGCCUAAUUUAUUGGAGCCUGGCCCAGAAAGGAA
rnacentral:lncRNA from 1 species